GUGAAAAAAUUAGAGUGUUCAAAGCAGGCAGAUUUAACUUUCUGCCACCGAAUACAUUAGCAUGGGAUAAUGGAAUAGGACCCUGUCCUCCUAUUUUCAGUUGGUUUUUGAGGACCAGGGUAAUGAUUAAUAGGGAUAGUUGGGGGCAUUAAUAUUUAAUUGUCAGAGGUGAAAUUCUUGGAUUUAUGAAAGAUUAACUUCUGCGAAAGCAUCUGCCAAGGAUGUUUUCAUUAAUCAAGAACGAAAGUUAGGGGAUCGAAGACGAUCAGAUACCGUCGUAGUCUUAACCAUAAACGAUGCCGACCAGCGAUUAGGAGACGUUGAAUACAAAACACCACCAUCAGACGGCGGAUCAUCUUCACGCAAGUGAGGGUGGUUCGUUUCUCUGGUGGCCCGGUGAAUGACUCCCUAGCACCCUUGUGAG
rnacentral:rRNA from 1 species